ACGCACGCUGGCGGCAUGCCUAACACCUGCAAGUCGCACGCGACCUUCGGGUCUAGUGGCGCACGGGUGCGUAACGCGUGGGAACCUGCCCUUAGGUUCGGAAUAACUCCCCGAAAGGGGUGCUAAUACCGGAUAAUGUCUUCGGACCAAAGAUUUAUCGCCUUUGGAUGGGCCCGCGUUGGAUUAGCUAGUUGGUAGGGUAAAAGCCUACCAAGGCGACGAUCCAUAGCUGGUCUGAGAGGAUGAUCAGCCACACUGGGACUGAGACACGGCCCAGACUCCUACGGGAGGCAGCAGUGGGGAAUAUUGGACAAUGGGCGAAAGCCUGAUCCAGCAAUGCCGCGUGAGUGAUGAAGGCCUUAGGGUUGUAAAGCUCUUUUACCCGGGAUGAUAAUGACAGUACCGGGAGAAUAAGCUCCGGCUAACUCCGUG
rnacentral:rRNA from 1 species